UACGAAGGGGGCUAGCGUUGCUCGGAAUUACUGGGCGUAAAGCGCACGUAGGCGGUUUGUUAAGUCGGGGGUGAAAUCCUGGAGCUCAACUCCAGAACUGCCUUCGAUACUGGCGAUCUCGAGUCCGGGAGAGGUGAGUGGAACUGCGAGUGUAGAGGUGAAAUUCGUAGAUAUUCGCAAGAACACCAGUGGCGAAGGCGGCUCACUGGCCCGGUACUGACGCUGAGGUGCGAAAGCGUGGGGAGCAAACAGG
rnacentral:rRNA from 1 species